rnacentral:lncRNA from 12 species
GGAUUUUCCAAGGGAAAUCCAAAAAGAAUAAAGGGAUAAAAGGAGAUAUUAAGGGAAUGAAGGGAUAUCUAAAGGGGUAUCUAAAUGGAAUACAGGGAAAUCCCAAGGGGUUAGGCUCAGCCUAAACCGGACCCAGAUAAAUCUGCUGCACCCCAAACUCGAGUUUUGCCCCUCCAGGUGUCCCCAGCCUGGCCUGGGGUGUGACAGGGACACCCAGUGCCACCCUGGGGAGGCUGAGGGGACGGGAGGGCGCUGGGAGGUGUCCCCAAGGUGUCCCCAGCAGGAAGGGGGGGGGGUUCCAGGCACAGGAUCUGUGUCACUGGGUCCCCUCCCCUGCCACCAGCUCUCAAUAAACCCUCCGCUGGAUCUCACUGAAAUCCGGGCUGGAGAAGCUGAGGAGAGCAGGGACAGCACCAAAUCCUUCCAAAAAU